CUUCUCACAGAUUUUGAUUGUUGGAUGAGCCACUGCAGUGUGAUAUCUGGAAGGCAGGAGACGCAUGGGGGUCAGUGUGAGACAGGAGAGACAGCAGGUGAAACACGAGACGCCUACAGUGGUGGGAAAUGGAGUAGCAGCAAAUCUCUCUGUCUUGAAUGGCUGCCAAGUUCCUGUAGAAAGAAAGCGGUAAAGAAAACUGAUAACCUGCCAUCAACUGUGAUGUUGGUGUUAAUAUUAACUGGCCAACAGAGGGAGCUGUUUCCUUUUGAAAACCUGUAUCAUUUCUAAAAGCAGUAGAGUACUAGCAAGGAGUUUCUAAACCCAGAGGUGCAACAUCACAAGACUUCUGGGAAAUCUUGCGAAGCAGACCAGGCUGGGGUUUGAGAAGUGAAACAUUCUUAGUUCAUUUUCUCGAAAUGUAAAGGCACAACAUUCGAGCCAAUGACUUAAUUAGUUAGUGCUGAGCGACUAGUGCUUUUGAGAUCGGUUCGGUUUUGAUUAGAUUAUUUAAAAAAAUCACGGUUUGUGAUUAUGUGGGUUGAAUGCCAUAAAACAAUCCAUAAAAGUGAUGGUUAGUGACUGCCCAUUACUGCUUAUCACUUAAUAACCAUUAAUUCACAUUACUAUACUUUAAUAAAAUAUUUCAGUUGUGUAUAUUACAUUUGUUUUAUUUUAUUACUUAAUUCCAAGUCAUCUCUAUAGAGCUGCUGCCUAUGCUGUCUGACAAAAUUAGUAUUUUGGUAGUUCUUCAAAGUAAAUAGCGCUUACUUCUGAAUACCAACUAUCACUUAGAUUAUGUACUUUCAGGUAAAGAUACCUAGCGCAGCAACUGCUCUCUCUUUCUCCCUCUCUCCUAACGUAGCAGGCAUAAAAGGAACACAGACCAGACAAGAAGGCGUGCAAUGGAUUAUGGUAAUUGUAGUUAAAGGAGUGCUUUUGAUUUGAUGGCCUGUAAAUGUGCAGUUUGGCACAAGACAACCUUCAAACCCGAUGACGUGUUUCUGUGCAUGAGCUUAGCUAGCCAACGUCACCUACAAGCGUGAUCAGGGAUUUCUACGGGAGAAGCCGUUUCUGCCCAUCUUCAUACUGUACUGUAUUUGGUACAAGUGACAGAAUAAUGCAAUGUUUCUCUAUGAAAAAGGAAAACAAAGCUUAUAAAAAAGGCAUGCCUAGAAAGUCACAAAUCAUAACUUCUCUUCUAAAAUAAAACCAUUAGGUCUUUGCUGAUGUGAGAUUAAAAGGAUAGCAGUGUUAAACUCCAGCAAAGUACUUCAAUAAUGGUAACUAAUCUUCCAAGGUAGUUAUGGUCAUAAGAAAAAAAAAAUAGAAAAUGUGACUACAAUAUCUAACUUCUUGGGGACCUGACCAAAUUCACAUAGAAAUGUCAGUUAUAGAUCUUUCAUUCUCAUUGAAAGUGAGUCAAAGCGGUAGAUCUGUUCUAUGUGCACUAUUUUAAUGCUUUCCGUUUUUUUAAGUUUACUUUUUGUACAAUGACUCUACACAAUGGACUGCUUGUUUUGUCACAAACUGAAAUUAUGGCAAAUUAUUAGAAUUGUAGAAACCAGGAAAUGGUGGAAUGAUUUCUGCAUAGUGCAUCUUUUAAAAAGUAAUUGUGUGUGAUGAAUGUCUUUGUACUGCUACUAUAUUAGUGUAUCCAUCUUGAAGUGGAUAAGCACAGCCAAGGACACAGCAUGGAAGGAAACUGAAAAGCUGUUGUUUAAAAGUUUGUAGAAGAAACAAUUGUGACAUCAGUGAUGCCAUCACCAUUUCAUAAGUACCCUGUUAAACCUGAAAUAUUAUGAGAAGCACAUGAUCAGAAUAUAGAAAGGCUCAGCUUGUACUCAAUGGCAAUGUUCAAUAUCCAUCUCCAGACUUUUCAAAUCGGGGAGGGGGGGGGACCACAAUGGAAAUAAGUCUGACUUUGUGAAAUCCCCAUCACUUUUUAAAAUGUAUGUACAGUGUGUAUACAUGUGUUGGCAAUACAAAUCAAUCAAGGCACAAUAAGAGAGGGAGUCCUCCUCCGUCAUUUAGUUAGAAUGAGUAUACUCAACUUUUAAAAAAGGGGGUGUAGAGUUGAUUCACACUACCUCAGCUAAGAUGCAUCAGAUGUUGUGUGAUUACUUCUGUGGGUUUACUACUAGGAAACACCUCAUCUUUUCUCUUCAUACUCACAUGUUUUCAAUGAGCUGCUUCUCGUCUAGAGCACUGGGGAUAUCUCUUUUGUUGCCAAGAACCAAAA